rnacentral:rRNA from 1 species
GAUGAACGCUGGCGGCGUGCCUAAUACAUGCAAGUCGAGCGAACUGAUUAGAAGCUUGCUUCUAUGACGUCAGCGGCGGACGGGUGAGUAACACGUGGGCAACCUGCCUGUAAGACUGGGAUAACUUCGGGAAACCGAAGCUAAUACCGGAUAGGAUCUUCUCCUUCAUGGGAGAUGAUUGAAAGAUGGUUUCGGCUAUCACUUACAGAUGGGCCCGCGGUGCAUUAGCUAGUUGGUGAGGUAACGGCUCACCAAGGCAACGAUGCAUAGCCGACCUGAGAGGGUGAUCGGCCACACUGGGACUGAGACACGGCCCAGACUCCUACGGGAGGCAGCAGUAGGGAAUCUUCCGCAAUGGACGAAAGUCUGACGGAGCAACGCCGCGUGAGUGAUGAAGGCUUUCGGGUCGUAAAACUCUGUUGUUAGGGAAGAACAAGUACAAGAGUAACUGCUUGUACCUUGACGGUACCUAACCAGAAAGCCACGGCUAACUACGUGCCAGCCGCCGCAGUAAAAC